rfam:Schistosoma rodhaini strain Burundi genome assembly, scaffold: SROB_scaffold0007674
AGCUUUUUGAAUCCGUGCUGAGAUUUCGUCAGACAACAACCCUUUAACGCUGAUCAGACUUCCAAGAUAAGUGAAGCU